AUGAUGUGGACUAUCAUGGUGGGAUGAUGUGGUCAACCAAUCUAUUGACGCUCUCCAUAAUUUGAUAGAAUGAUAGUUUUUUGUAUUCUUAUUAAUAUAUUGUGCUUAGAGGUUGAUAGGAUGAUUAUGAGAUUCAUUAGAAUAGGAAUGAGAUAGGAUAAUUGAUUAUUUAGAUUUAAUUAAAUUAUUAACAUUUCUAGAAUGUUCUUAUAGUGUGAGAUGAUGAUACUUGUAUGGUUAUCGUCAUUUUAAGAUUUCUUUAUUCUCUAUAAAUAAUGUCUUUGUUCAUUCAUGAACGAAAUCAAUGAAAAAUGAAGAAUUUUAUAUUUAUUAUCGUACUUUAUCUAUUUUCUUAGGAGUAUAUUAAUUCUAUAAUGUUAUUGGUAGAUUGUUAUUUGCACUCUAUCAAUUGUUACUUUAAUUUUAUAUUUUUAAUCACAUCCCUAAUCUUUACACAAGUUUUGUUAUCUUUGCUCUCCAAUUUUCUUCUCUUGCCAUCCAAGCCCAAAUUCCAUCCAUUCAUUCUAGCAACCCCAUCCUUCCUUUUCCACUCAACAAUUCCAUUACCCUCACCCUUCUUCCUCUCUCACUCACUUACCCCUACCUUUUCCUCGCGAAGCUCCUUUGUUCU